rnacentral:rRNA from 1 species
AUGCGGUAUGACGGUACCCUUUCGAAUAAGAGGUUGCUAACUCUGUGCCAGCAGCAGCGGUAAUACAGAGACCUCGAGCGUUAUCCGGAUUUACUGGGCGUAAAGCGUCUGUAGGGGGUUUGUUAAGUUCCAAGUAAAAUCUUAAGGCUCAACUUUAAGUUCGCUUGGAAAACUAAUAAACUGGAGUCCAGCAGAGGUGCAUGGAACUUGCGGUGUAGGAGUGAAAUCCGUUGAUAUCGCAAGGAACACCAAAGGCGAAGGCAUUGCACUGGGCUGGUACUGACCCUGAGAGACGAAAGCGUGGGGAGCAAAACGGAUUAGAUACCCGUGUAGUCCACGCCGUAAACGAUGGAUACUAGAUGUUCGGGGAUUCGACCCCCUGGGUGUCACAGCUAACGCGUUAAGUAUCCCGCCUGGGAAGUACGGCCGCAAGGCUGAAACUCAAAGGAAUAGACGGGGAUCCGCACAAGCGGUGGAGCGUCUGGUUUAAUUUGAUAGUAAGCAAUGGACCUCACCAAGGUUUGACAUCCUAUGACAACCCUGGAAACAGGGCUUCCUUCGGGCAUAGUGACAGGUGCUGCAUGGUCGUCGUCAGUUCGUGCCGUGAGGUGUUCCGUUAAGUCGGGAAACGAACGAAACCCUCGUCGCAUGUUACAAAUUUCAUGCGAGACUGCCCGGCUCAACCGGGAGGAAGGCGGGGAUGACGUCAGAUCAGCAUGGCCCUUAUACCUUGGGCUACACAGGCGCUACAAUGGCCGGUACAAAGGGUUGCAAAACCGCGAGGUGAAGCUAAUCCCAUAAAGCCGGUCCAAGUUCGGAUUGGAGGCUGCAACUCGCCUCCAUGAAGUUGGAAUCGCUAGUA